UACGUAGGGUGCGAGCGUUGCCCGGAUUUAUUGGGCGUAAAGGGCGCGCAGGCGGCUACGCACGUCCGUUGUGAAAUCGCUCGGCUCAACUGGGCGGGGUCAGCGGAUACGGCGUAGCUGGAGCAAGCUAGGGGGCAAUGGAAUUCCCGGUGUAGUGGUGGAAUGCGUAGAGAUCCGGAAGAACACCAGUGGCGAAGGCGGUCUGCUGGGCAGUGGGAGCUUCGGCUCUCUUUAGCCGACACUGAGGCGCGACAGCGUGGGGAGCAAACAGG
rnacentral:rRNA from 1 species